rnacentral:rRNA from 1 species
CAGCCGCCGCGGUAAUACGUAGGUGGCAAGCGUUGUCCGGAAUUAUUGGGCGUAAAGCGCGCGCAGGCGGUUCCUUAAGUCUGAUGUGAAAUCUCGCGGCUCAACCGCGAGCGGCCAUUGGAAACUGGGGAACUUGAGUGCAGGAGAGGGGAGCGGAAUUCCACGUGUAGCGGUGAAAUGCGUAGAGAUGUGGAGGAACACCAGUGGCGAAGGCGGCUCUCUGGCCUGUAACUGACGCUGAGGCGCGAAAGCGUGGGGAGCGAACAGGAUUAGAUACCCUGGUAGUCCACGCCGUAAACGAUGAGUGCUAAGUGUUAGAGGGUAUCCACCCUUUAGUGCUGCAGCAAACGCAUUAAGCACUCCGCCUGGGGAGUACGGCCGCAAGGCUGAAACUUAAAGGAAUUGGCGGG